rnacentral:rRNA from 1 species
AACGAACGCUGGCGGCAGGCCUAACACAUGCAAGUCGAACGCCCUAGCAAUAGGGAGUGGCAGACGGGUGAGUAACACGUGGGAACGUGCCUUUCGGUUCGGAAUAACCCAGGGAAACUUGGACUAAUACCGGAUACGUGCGAGAGCAGAAAGAUUUAUCGCCGAAAGAUCGGCCCGCGUCCGAUUAGUUAGUUGGUGAGGUAAUGGCUCACCAAGGCGACGAUCGGUAGCUGGUCUGAGAGGAUGAUCAGCCACACUGGGACUGAGACACGGCCCAGACUCCUACGGGAGGCAGCAGUGGGGAAUAUUGGACAAUGGGCGCAAGCCUGAUCCAGCCAUGCCGCGUGAGUGAUGAAGG